GUGGCGUGCUGGCGGGGAAGCGUCGGGGACAGAGAGUGACGGGUGGACAGUGUCACCAACCCCUUUGAUAAGAGGACGAGGAGCAGAAGCAGGCCUGAUGCCAAGGUCGGUCUGGGACAAGAGCCCCGCCCCGCCCUGCAAGGGUAGCUCAGGACACGGUGCCCGAGGAGCAAACUGGGACAGCUGAGCCACAGGGACGGCCCCCUGCCCGGAGGCAGGCCACUGGGGCCCGAGAAGGGCCGGGGACCCAGAAGCCAUCAAGGAAGUCCCCCGAAAAGAUACCGGAAGGUCACCCACGGCGCAGAGGCUGGAAAACGGCAGUCGCUGCUGAUUGGUUUUAUUCUUUGGUGACCCCCAAGUGCACCAGGGCCCGGGGUGAUCUCCCCCGGCUCCAAAUCACCGAACCCUCCCAGGUCCCGCGCCAGACGGAGCCAGGUCCCAACCAGGAAGGGCCUCGGAGCAUCGGGACGCCAACGCCGCCGUCUUCGAGUCCGGGUUGGGGGCGAAAGAUGGCACUGACGGGGUACAGCU